rnacentral:rRNA from 1 species
CAGCAGCCACGGGAAUGCGUAGGUGGCAAGCGUUGUCCGGAAUUAUUGGGCGUAAAGGGCUCGCAGGCGGUUUCUUAAGUCUGAUGUGAAAGCCCCCGGCUCAACCGGGGAGGGUCAUUGGAAACUGGGAAACUUGAGUGCAGAAGAGGAGAGUGGAAUUCCACGUGUAGCGGUGAAAUGCGUAGAGAUGUGGAGGAACACCAGUGGCGAAGGCGACUCUCUGGUCUGUAACUGACGCUGAGGAGCGAAAGCGUGGGGAGCGAGCAGGAUUAGAUACCCCAGUAGUCCCUGUCUCUUAUAC